rnacentral:rRNA from 1 species
UUAAGUGGGAAACGAUGUGGGAAGGCCCAGACAGCCAGGAUGUUGGCUUAGAAGCAGCCAUCAUUUAAAGAAAGCGUAAUAGCUCACUGGUCGAGUCGGCCUGCGCGGAAGAUGUAACGGGGCUAAACCAUGCACCGAAGCUGCGGCAGCGAACGUAUCACUUAAAGCGAUUCAGCGGGUUACGAUUGACGGAGCGAAGCGACGUCAAAGCGUAUACAAAGUCGAGUCGGUUUAAGGAUACGUUCGUUGGGUAGGGGAGCGUUCUGUAAGCCUGUGAAGGUGGCCUGUGAGGGUUGCUGGAGGUAUCAGAAGUGCGAAUGCUGACAUAAGUAACGAUAAAGCGGGUGAAAAGCCCGCUCGCCGGAAGACCAAGGGUUCCUGUCCAACGUUAAUCGGGGCAGGGUGAGUCGACCCCUAAGGCGAGGCCGAAAGGCGUAGUCGAUGGGAAACGGGUUAAUAUUCCCGUACUUGGUGUUACUGCGAAGGGGGGACGGAGAAGGCUAUGUUGGCCGGGCGACGGUUGUCCCGGUUUAAGCGUGUAGGUGUGUGUUCCAGGUAAAUCCGGUUCACUUUAACACUGAGGCGUGA